CCUACGGGAGGCAGCAGUGAGGAAUAUUGGUCAAUGGACGCAAGUCUGAACCAGCCAUGCCGCGUGCAGGAAGACGGCUCUAUGAGUUGUAAACUGCUUUUGUACGAGGGUAAAGGCAGAUACGCGGAUCGGUCUGAAAGUAGCGUACGAAUAAGGAUCGGCUAACUCCGUGCCAGCAGCCGCGGUAAUACGGAGGAUGCAAGCGUUAUCCGGAUUUAUUGGGUUUAAAGGGUGCGUAGGCGGUCGGAUAAGUUAGAGGUGAAAUCCCGAGGCUCAACGUCGGAAUUGCCUCUGAUACUGUUCGGCUAGAGCGUAGUUGCGGUAGGCGGCAUGUUUGGUGUAGCGGU
rnacentral:rRNA from 1 species